UACGGAGGGUGCAAGCGUUAUCCGGAUUCACUGGGUUUAAAGGGUGCGUAGGCGGGCAGGUAAGUCAGUGGUGAAAUCUCCGAGCUUAACUCGGAAACUGCCGUUGAUACUAUUUGUCUUGAAUAUUGUGGAGGUAAGCGGAAUAUGUCAUGUAGCGGUGAAAUGCUUAGAUAUGACAUAGAACACCUAUUGCGAAGGCAGCUUACUACACAGUCAUUGACGCUGAGGCACGAAAGCGUGGGGAUCAAACAGG
rnacentral:rRNA from 1 species